UUGGAGGGCAAAGUCUGGUGCCAGCAGCCGCGGUAAUUCCAGCUCCAAUAGCGUAUAUUAAAGUUGUUGCAGUUAAAAAGCUCGUAGUUGAAUUUCGGGAUCAAUACGUCGGUCGUGCUUUCGGGUACGUACUGGCGUCAUUGGUUUCUCCUUUCUGACGAACCAUGAUGUCAUUAAUUUGGUGUUAUGGGGAGUUAGGACUGUUACUUUGAAAAAAUUAGAGUGUUUAAAGCAGGCAUUAGCUUGAAUACAUUAGCAUGGAAUAAUGAAAUAGGACGUUCGAUCCUAUUUUGUUGGUUUCUAGGAUCAACGUAAUGAUUAAUAGGGAUAGUUGGGGGCAUUAGUAUUCAAUUGUCAGAGGUGAAAUUCUUGGAUUUAUUGAAGACUAACUACUGCGAAAGCAUUUGCCAAGGAUGUUUUCAUUAAUCAAGAACGAAAGUUAGGGGAUCGAAGACGACCAGAUACCGUCGUAGUCUUAACCAUAAACUAUGCCGACUAGGGAUCGGAUGAUGUUAAUUUUUUAAUGACUCAUUCGGCGCCUUACGGGAAAC
rnacentral:rRNA from 1 species